rnacentral:lncRNA from 1 species
AUGGGUGAUGUUGAAAAAAGCAAAAGUGUUUUUGUUUAGAAGUGUGUCCAGUGCCACACCGUGGAAAAGGGAGGCAAGCAUAAGACUGGGCCCAAUCUCCAUGGUCUCUGUGGGUGCAAGACAGGUGAGGUGGCUGGAUUCUUGUACACAGACACCAAGAAGAACAAAUGCAUCAUCUACGGAAGGAGCAAUUGGAGAAUCCCAAGUAGUACAUCCCUGGAACAAAAAUGAUCUCCACUGGUGUUAAAAGGAAGGCAGAAAGAAUUGGUCACUGCCUUAUUUACUUAGAAACCAGAA